GGACGAACGCUGGCGGCGUGCCUAAUACAUGCAAGUCGAACGAACGGAGGAAGAGCUUGCUCUUCCAAAGUUAGUGGCGGACGGGUGAGUAACACGUGGGCAACCUGCCUGUAAGUUGGGGAUAACUCCGGGAAACCGGGGCUAAUACCGAAUAAUAAGUGGUGGCGCAUGCCACGGCUUUGAAAGAUGGUUUCGGCUAUCGCUUACAGAUGGGCCCGCGGUGCAUUAGCUAGUUGGUAGGGUAAUGGCCUACCAAGGCAACGAUGCAUAGCCGACCUGAGAGGGUGAUCGGCCACACUGGGACUGAGACACGGCCCAGACUCCUACGGGAGGCAGCAGUAGGGAAUCUUCCGCAAUGGACGAAAGUCUGACGGAGCAACGCCGCGUGUAUGAAGAAGGUUUUCGGAUCGUAAAGUACUGUUGUUAGAGAAGAACAAGGAUAAGAGUAACUGCUUGUCCCUUGACGGUAUCUAACCAGAAAGCCACGGCUAACUACGU
rnacentral:rRNA from 1 species